rnacentral:lncRNA from 1 species
UUCCCUAAAUCGCAACAUUUACGAUUCUUCUUUAUAUUAAAAUCAUAUUCCAUUUAUUAUAUGAUUUAUUUAAUCUGGGUAGAUAUUAAUAUAUAUAUAUAUAUAUAUAUAUAUAUAUAUAUACACACACACAAUGCAUUCUUUCAAACAUAUCCCUAUUUCAGAACAAAUAAACUUCAUCUAUAGAAUAAUUCAAAGAUUUACUUCUUUGAGAUUUACACAUGUAAAAUACCAUCAUUAAGGUUAAACAUUCUGCAUUAAACAACUAGUCUUCUUUUCACGCGCUCCUAAUAACAAGAGUUCGCAUCAUAGCUUUAACCUGCAACUUAAGCAUGAUUGAGCACGACGGCCUACCAAGUCUAACAGCCUAUCAUGCAUCACGUAGCACAUAGGUUUCACAUUCAGUUCAUGCAUUUAUAUUCUUGGAGUUCAAAUAUAUUAUAAUCGCAUCAAACUUAAACUCUACUAGUAGUAACAUACGUACCAUAGCAUACCUGUCAUUCAUUGCACAUGUAUAUUGAGUUCCCUGAUUCAAUUCAACAAUUAGUCAUAAUUUGACCUUCAUCAUUCAUAAAGCAAUUAAUGCAGUUCAUAUGCAUCACAUAUCUAUAAACAUAAGUCAUGCUAACAGUUAUUUAUAGCGAUUAUAAAUCCACAUAAAUAAACUAAGAAACUUGUCUUGAUUGGAGAUUACCGCUAUAACUUAAUUAAAUUUCUCCUCACGAAUCCUACACAAGUGUGUACACAUAUUCAUACAUAUUAGGUAACCAAUUAUGUCACAAAACAUGCAUGCAUAUUCACUAUAAAUAACUAUUAGUAUAUAAAAACUAAUAUUAUUUAUUCUUCACUUAAAACCAAUCUUGGUUCCUUUAGAAAAUUUAUUCAUUUUAAUCCUUUAUAUAAAUAAUAAAGGUUUCUCACAACUUUAACAUAUAACUAUUUUACAUCUUCGAAACAUAAACCAUCCAUAUCCCGUUUAAAAUAUUUCUUGCCUUUACUCGCAAAUUCGGGAUUUAAAUGAUUAAUAUAUAACUUUUAUAGUAAAUCACAACUUACUAUAUUAUUUCUUUUUGCUUAAUAAUUUUAUACUUUUUCAAUAGUUCACGAGUUAACUCAUGUUAUUGCCUCUUACACAAAUAUUUUAUUUUUGCUAGCAAGUUAGCUUCACAUUUUAUCUAGCGAAUAAUUCACAUUUUCACUUUGUCUACAUAUAUUAAAUAUAUAUACACCGUUAAGUAAUUAUUCGUUCAAAAUCUUUGUUUCGAACCCUGAAAACCUUCAUUUCAUCACUUUCAUGACCAUUAUAGUUUUUUAACAAUUCCAUGUUUUUCGUUUCACUAUAAAACUAUUUUACAUGUCAUCUCCGGCUUACAUUCGCUUAAUUAUGUAGAUUUAUAUUUACAUUAUAUUUUUAUUUCAUUAUUUAUGCCCGGACUUAGUUUUCGUAGCAUAAACGUUAAAACUUCCAUCUUGGGACUUUAUUAGACUUAACAUUGAUUAAAAUCUAGCUCAAACGCGAUCCAGAACGUCGAACGUCAAAACAGCUCAUAGCAGUUACGUUCAGCGUCGCGCAUUUUACUAAUCCUGACAUGCUCGUUCGCACAUUUUUAAUUCUCAGACCAUUAAUCGAAUCGUUACGAAAUUUUGGUUUGAUGUAGGUAGUAUAUCCACCUAUUUUUUGAAAAAUUCUAGCCAUACAUUUCGAACAUUUUAAGCGAGUCAAAUGUAAGCUCCAAAAGGGCAGCAGGUAGCAGCCCAUGAGGCUGGGCUGCUAUGGGUAGCCCCGCCUCUUUUCCGUGUAGCGACUUCGUCAUUUUCUAACUUUUAGCUCACACGUCGGAUGGCAUUGAUUUUCAAAUAUGACAAACUUGGUGUAUAGACUAUUUUUAGAUAAUAUUAGUCAUGCGUUUCGGACACGUUAAAUCACUCAAAACCGUGUGCCAAAGUGGCCAUCUGCAAUUGCUACUGCCCAGCCCCUAUUUCGACGUAGCCACUUUGCAGAUUUUUAGUUUCUAGCUCAUAAGUUCGAUGACAUCCAACUUUGGAUAUGUUGUAAACAUCAUAGCAACCUAUUUUUAAAAAUUAUUUGACACCCAUUUCGGAUUAGAUAGACAGUCCAAAACAAUGUUCAAAAAGGGGCGUUAAAAAUUGUUUUUCAUUCUUUCACAGCUUUACCCUUUCUCGUUAAAAUAGUCAUAACUCUUUCAUUUCAAAACAUUUUUGAGCGAUUCUUGAGCCCACGCGAAGAUAACUGCUGGGGCUAAAACUCUUUUUUACUGACCUUUUCCAAAUUCCAAACAAAAAAUUCUAGAAAUUUCUUGCAAAGGGACUGCUUUGAAUUUGUCAGACAGUUUUGGCACGGCUACUUUGAACGGUCAUAACUCUUUGUUCCGAAGUCGGAAUUAGUCCGAUCUGGAGUCUAUGAAAAUCUUAUUCAGUGUACUAUAAUAACCCAAAGCCCAGAAUUUUCUAGUAUAUCUAACUAGCCCCAAAUUUGUCUCUUAGGGUAAGUUGUGCACUAGUUUUUGAACUUUUCGUUUUGACAUUGAAAACUCGCCUCGACUCGAUUCAACCCAACUUUCUUUACAAAUAAGACUUAUUUAACAUAAUAAGACUCGUCUAAGGUCUCGAAUCCGUUAAAUUCCAAACUUUUACCCAAGUUUGUUCUUUAUGACCAUUUAACGAACAUUAAGCGAGCGUUUUUCAUUUGACUUGAUUUCUUAUCAAUUUGUUUGCGGGUAUUCCAUAAUUCCCUUUCUUAUAAAUCCGGACAACAAUACCUAGUCCCCAAGUCUCUAGUUCCAUCAUUCCAACAUCAUUACAUAUACAAAAAUCAUGCUAAAAUAACUCUUUAGCAAACUAAAGUUUACUAACAAACUCAUAUUUUGCUAUUUUGAUUUCAAAUCAAUUCCAACUACACAUAACAUAUACAUAGACCAAAAAUUCAUUCAUUAUAAGGAAACUUCAUUUAAAUUUCCAUUAUAACCACUAAACUUUGAAAAUUUAAAGUUUAGCUUAGAAAUACAUAAAUACAUGAAUUCUAAUUAAAACCCAAAAUUGAGUACGGAAUUAUACCUUAUGAACUCUUCCUUUGAUUAUCCCAAGCCUUGCUACCUCCAAUUUUUGCUAUGGCUAUAUGAGACUCACGGUUCUUUACUUAUCCAUAAUUGAAAAUUUAUAAAAUUCCCAAGAGAUGAGGGAUAGAGAGGCUCGGCAAUUAGGGGGUGAGGAAGGAGAGAAAUUCCAACUUGAAGCUAAAAUUCUUGAUGCCCAAGAUUAUUUUUGGGUGUAAGCUUUUCUCCCCCUUUCUCCUCUUAACUCAUGACAUAUAAAGAAAUU